GAUGAACGCUAGCGGCAGGCUUAAUACAUGCAAGUCGAGGGGCAGCAUGAUUGUAGCAAUACAAUUGAUGGCGACCGGCAAACGGGUGCGGAACACGUACACAACCUCCCAAUAAGUGGGGAAUAGCCCAGAGAAAUUUGGAUUAAUACCCCGUAACAUAACGAUGUGGCAUCACAUUGUUAUUAUAGAUUUUUCGCUUAUUGAUGGGUGUGCGGCUGAUUAGAUAGUUGGCGGGGUAACGGCUCACCAAGUCUACGAUCAGUAGCUGAUGUGAGAGCAUGAUCAGCCACACGGGAACUGAGACACGGGCCCGACUCCUACGGGAGGCAGCAGUAAGGAAUAUUGGACAAUGGACGCAAGUCUGAUCCAGCCAUGCCGCGUGAAGGAUUAAGGUCCUCUGGAUUGUAAACUUCUUUUAUCUGGGACGAAAAAAGGGCUUUCUAGCUCGACUGACGGUACCAGAGGAAUAAGCACCGGCUAACUCCGUGCCAGCAGCCGCUGUAACAC
rnacentral:rRNA from 1 species